rnacentral:lncRNA from 1 species
CUCGAACUUUUUAAAUUAUUGCGAUCAAAUCCGACAACCUAAUUUUGUUCACUAAAUAUUAAUAUAUCGUUAAUGUAGAAGUAAUUUGGCAUUUCAAUCAUUGUCGCAUCAUCAAUUAUAAUACUCUCAUAUCACUUUUAUAUUAUCGAUAUAUUAGUAUUUAGUCAAUUGAAUGAAUUGAAUUGUGAGAUGUAAUUUAAAUAAUUUAAAAAAUUCGAGCUAGAAAAUACUACAAAAUAAAAUUUAAAGAUAAAAGUGUUACAUGCCUCAUAGUUUGAGGAUACCAAGUGUUAUUUAGGGUGCGUUUGGUUCGCGCUAUCUUUUUAAGAUUUCUAGUAAUCCAAUAGGAAUAAAAAAAUAUGAUGGUGUUUGGCUAAACGCACUAGGUAAUCUAAUUGGUAAUACUAGAUUUACUUAGAAAUGAGAUGCAUCCCAAAGCACUAAUCUCAUUCCUUUGAGGGAGGAUGGGUAUACUUAUAUUAAUAGAUUGGAGUAAUUAUAAUAUGUCUAAUCUUUUUUUUUUUCCACCUUCCGGCCAGUUGGUAUUAUUUUUUUUAUACUCUAACCUCAUAUCUUUCUCUAAAUUUAUCUUUUUCUCUCUAAACUUCAACUUUUUUUCUCUCUCUAAAUUAAUUAAGUUAUUUCUCCCCCUCUUUUUCUAAAAUCUCAAGCCUUUCAUUCUCUCUAACCUCGACUUUAUUUCUCUUCCUAUUUCUUUAAUUAUGCUCUCUCUUUCUAACCUAUAUUUUCUCUCUUUUUUUAAAAAAAGAUGUUGAAAUUUUUUAUAGUAUUAUUUAAAAUUAAAUAAAUAAAUAAAUUGUAUAUUUUUUAUAAUUUUAAAUAACAUGACUAAAUAAUAUGACCGUACGAACCAAACACCGAAAUACUACAUUCUUAUUAAUAGAAUGAAUAGGAAUAAGAUUCUCUGAUAUCUUUUUACUCCUAAUAAUCUUUCGUAGUGCGAACCAAACGCGCCCAUAUUAAUCUAUAUGGUUCGUGUUAUUCUGUUAGGUUUAUAGGGUAUAAUGUAGGAAACUUUUCAGAUUACUGUCUUUGGAUCAUUUUACAAGUAAUCCGUUUGGUAAUGAAAUAUUACUAAUGGUGCAAGAUAAUUCCAAAAAUAUUAUAAGGGAGCGGGGUUAGUAUAUUAUAUUACUAAGUGCAGUUUAUUCAACAACUUAUGCAAAUCAUAAAAUUACCCUCCCCACCACCAAUUGCCUCAAAUUCAUUCUAAAAUAAAGCUUAGAUUUUUGUUUCUCAUGUAUAAUUAAAAUAUUUAAAUUUAAAUUUAAAUUUUUAAUUUUUAAUUUUAGUUCAAAUUUAAAUUGAUUUUGGAUUGCAAAUUUAAAUUUAAAUUUUUAAUAAAAUUUAGAAUCUGAAUUAAAAUUUGGCUAAAUUAUAGAAAACUCUCAUGUGAAUACUCGUUUUUUCACUUUUUUUCUUUAAAAAUGAGAAAUUUCACGGGAGGAUACUCUACGACAAAAUGAUUAAAUUGCUCCCCAUCUUCUUUGGGGUGGGCGUGGAUGGAGAGGUGAGCGAGGGCGAGAGUGAGGCGGGGGAGGCGGGCGAGGCCGCGAGGGCGUGUGUGUAGGCAUGGACAAAGAGGUGGGCGAGGGCGAGGCGGCAAUGCUGAGGGUGAGGUGGCGCAGUCGAGGAUGAAAAAAGUGGAGAGUUUCAGAAGUAUUUUGGGUAUAAAAAAUAGAAUAUAAUCGAAACUAUAACAGAACACUGACGACGUGGGUCAAAAUGAACAUUUUUUAUUUUUUAAGAAAAAAAUGUAGAUUUUUGAAUGACUGGAGAGAAAGUGAAAACGCGGAUAUUGACAGGAGAGUUUUUUAUAAUUUAGCCUUUAAUAAAUUUCAAUUUAAACUUUGAAUU